rnacentral:rRNA from 1 species
AGCACCUNNGGUGUUCGAGNUGUAAUUUGAAGAUGGUAACCUNGGGUUUGGCUCUNGUCUAUGUUCCUUGGAACAGGACGUCAUAGAGGGUGAGAAUCCCGUCUGAUGAGAUGCCCAUUCCUAUGUAAGGUGCUAUCGAAGAANUNNAGUUGUUUGGGAAUGCAGCUCUAAGUGGGUGGUAAAUUCCAUCUAAAGCUAAAUAUUGGCGAGAGACCGAUAGCGAACAAGUACAGUGAUGGAAAGAUGAAAAGAACUUUGAAAAGAGAGUGAAAAAGUACGUGAAAUUGUUGAAAGGGAAGGGCAUUAGAUCAGACUUGGUGUUUUACGAUUAUCUUCUCUUCUUGAGUUGUGCACUCGUAUUUCACUGGGCCAGCAUCGAUUCGGAUGGCAAGAUAAUGGCAGUUGAAUGUGGCUUCACUUCGGUGGAGUGUUAUAGCUUCUGCUGAUAUUGCCUGUCUGGAUCGAGGGCUGCGUCUUUUGACUAGGAUGCUGGCGUAAUGAUCUAAUGCCGCCC